GUAACACUUGGAGUUCAUGUAUCAUUGUGGCGGUGUUUUUCUGAUCCAAUGGCAGAUUCCUCAGUAGCAUGAUGCAGUGAUUGCCAAGAAAUUAAUUAUGACAGCCAUUGUGGUGAAUGUGUGCCUCUGUAGUCAUCUGCUGCUGACUGAGUGACUGCAAACCUCCUGCUUCAAAGAUGGUUGAGGUGAUUUAAUAGAUAUGCAAUGGUUUGGGGAAUCUUGCAGAAGAAGAUUGAUAGGGCUCUUUGCAUCCAGCCUUGGAUAAUUACGAACCUAGUCGAGUGCAAUGUCUAGUCUUCCAGAAUAAGGAAUGAGGUCACAUCAGUGCUGGCUCUUACUGGGACAGUUUAUCUGGCGGAGAAAAAUUCAAUGGGGGGUAUUUCUCAGUAUAUUUAAAUGUGUGAUUUACAUUGGACGAGCCAUCACUUGACUGAGGAAUGAGAAGAGAGAAUUUUAUAUAGUGCCUGUAUGUUUGAUGUAUCUGAGUCAAAAGUUGAGGAGAUUUUGACACGAUCAUUUACAAGCCCGUUGUAAAGUGACAGUUUUAACUGAUCUUCUUCAGAGGCCAAAAUGGCACAACCUGAGUUGAAACAUGACUAUGAUGCUGUAGUAUGAAUGCCAGAUAAGCAGGGAUCCUGGUUUUCUCUGACUUAAAAAAAUCCCCAAUUUUUGGAUAAAAAGAAGUAACCUCAAAUCUACAUUUUCCUGUGAUUUAAAUGAAACACCGCUAAUACACACAUGCGCGCACGCACACACACACACACACAAAUAUAUAGUGAUGUUUCAUUUUAAUUAUGGAAAAAUGUGGAUUUGGGGUUGCUUUUUUAACUGAAAAUUGGGGACUUUUUUUUUAAUUCAGAGAAAACCAGGAUACCUGCAGAUAAGGAAUAGAUUCUAAAUAGACUAUUUAGGCUGAAACUUUAUAUCUAAAAAUAUAAGGAAGUUCUAAGAAAGAGUAAUUUGCACUUUAAAGCAAAGACUUGUUUGUGGUCAUUGCUAUUAAGUAAAUACCUUACAAUCUUUGUUCAAAAUUGCUAAGCAUGCUAAAUUGAUUCCACCAUCCUUUCUUCUUUUUUUUUGUGGGAUGAGGAUGCUGAAAUGAAUUUCACAAAGUUGAAGUUUCGAUUUAUUUGCUUUGUUUGAUUUAAAAUAUGGAUCCCAAGAUGAGAGAGAUAAAUAUCAUGGCACCUGGUAAAAAAUAAUUAUUAGAUUCUCUUAGAUAGAUAGUGUAGUUACUUAUUAUUGACCAGCAACUACUCCCAUUGAAAUAAUGGAGGUCUGCCACUGACCAAAAAGGCCUGAUUUUAUCUAAUCUGAGGCUACUUUACACUGCACUGGUUGUGUAAGUGAAAUAUAAUUUUCUCCCAUUAUAACAGCCAUAGUGCUAUAAAGUGUCUUUAGUGCAAACAAAAAUCCCAGUAGGAACAAGAUGGGGACAUAUAUUUGGCAUUUCUUCCAAUUUAAACCACGUAAAGUGCAUCUAUAUGGCACAGUGAUAGGUGACCUUCUAAAAGUUUAGAGACAUAGUAAUCAUAUUUAAUAAACACACUAUUCUCCCUGUCUUAGCAAGGAGCUAACAUCUUUGACUGUGUAAUGGGAGACACAAGGCCCCGUUAUGAAAUAGGGUGAAAAAGGGCAUUAACCCCCUCAAGAGUGAAACACAGGGUAGGUCAUGCUCCUUUUUUUCUGACAAUAUAAGCUUGCCACUGCCUGAAUUGGGGAAUUGCUUGCAGGACAGCCUGGAAGGAAGAGCUCAGGAUGGAGCAGAGGCUAAAGCUGGAUCCAAGGAACUGAGGAGCCUGAUACAAAGCCUGAAGAACAUGUGAAGAAGAUGCUUCAAGAUAUGUCACUUAAGAUUUUGUUUUGCCCAUUGCUCUGAUGAUAUUGUCACCUCUACUGAUGCCCCACAACAUGAAGAAACAUCCAGACAAGGAUUGAAAGAAUCUUGGUCACACUCAGCAGGUGAUUCAAAGGGCUUUUACCUUUAUGAGGGUCUCUCAUGAGCCAGUUGGAACUAAGAAGAAACCUUCUGUCAGAAUCUUUGGCUCUGAGUGACUGCUGAGCAACACACAGUACCAGGUAUAAAACAAAUAAAGAAAACACCCAGAAUGCAAGAAAGGAGAAACUCUCCAAAUGAGAAGGACAGUGCUCUAACUUCAAGCCACAAGUGCCACCAAAAAAGUAAGAUAGUCAGAAGAAACGUGGACUACAUAUGCUAGGCAUAUCAAGAAACUGAAUAGCUUCCACAGUGGGGAUCGCCCCCCGCCUGGCAGGAGCCACCCUUUCCACAAUUCUAAGCACUGGGAAGAGAUGAGAGGAGCAAAAUAAGGAUGAAAGACCUAAAGGACUUGAAGACGGCUAGAACUUUCCAAAGGGGAUGGUGUGCUGUGAAAGGGAAGAUAAUGAGCCACUCAGAAAUCUGACAAGCUCCCCGAAGUGGAAAAGUUGUCCUGUAAGUGUUUAAGAUACUACAGCGCCUGGCAACUUUUGACAACUGCAAGUGAUGAGGAAUAGGUGGCUGAUACCUGAACAAAGAGGAAUGUCAGCUUCGAAGUUAGUAUAUGGAAACGUUUUCGUGCACAAACAAAGGAGUAAAAAUACAAUGUGGCUCUAUAAAUACAGUGGGCUGAUAAGUCUAUUGAGCUUGUGAGUCAGCUUUUCAGUCAGCUGAAAUGAUUAGGUGCAGAUUGCUAUCGGGCUAACCACUAUUCUUCUAAUGCGUUUUAUCUCUCUGACUUGCCACCUUAUUAUUAAAUUCAAAUAACCAAAAUUAGGGGGAAUUAUGGUGUUUGCUUCCUCUAUAGCUACUUUAAACUACGCUUGAAAAUAAAUACAGCCUCUUAAGACCGUGCCUCACCGGAGGGCUUGCAAAGAUAUAAUGUAAUUCAUGCCAAACACCAGGGCUGCAUGUUUGGAGGAAACGUAGCUGCUUACAGUAAACACAGUCUCAGCUUUGUGAAAUGAAUACACGCGUGCUGAAGGAUUUCUCAGACAAGAGCAUUUUGAACUGGUUUGCUAGACUACAGCAUCGCAUUUGGAAGGAGUAUUGAUGGUGUUUGCAGCGAAAAUGCCGCCGGCUAGGUGUGCUGCGCGGGCCGCAGGACCGUGCCACCGAGCUGGCUCCGCGUCAGAACUGACAGGUCAGACGCAAGGAAAUGACAUGCGGCGAGAUUGCUUUCUCGUUAUCUUCAGGGACCAUAUCGGGACCAGGGCGUUUGCAGAACAUGGGACCCCUACACACACACACACACACACACACCUGUGCUCACGUGACAUUAAUGGCUGAAAUGAGCAAGUAAAACCUCCUAGUCCUGUUGAAGAGUCCAAGGCAAAGAGCGUGAUGCUUGGUGCGAGGAGCUCAGGUUUGGUCCAGUCGAAGGCUCUGAGAAAAUCCCCAUUGACUGCAGCCAGACGCAGCCUGCGCCUUAUAACCAGAGAUUCUGGUUUUCUCUGAUUUUUUUUUUAUCCCCAUUUUUCGGAUAUAAAAAGGUAACUCAAAAUCCACAUUCUUCCGUGAUUAAAAUGGAACACCACUAAGACAUAUAGAUAUAUAGAUAUAGAUACACAUACACGAAACAUCACUAUACAUAUAGAUAGAUAUAGAUCUAUCUAUAUUUAACCUCUCUCCCUCUCUCUCUCUCUCUACACAUAUAGAUAUCUAUAUCUAUAUCUAGAGAGAGAGAGAGAGAGAGAGAGAGAGAUCUAUAUAUCUGUAUUUCUACGAUCAAGUGCUUUCAAGAGGUUUGGACAAAGUGAUAGAAAGGCUUGGUGACUGCUCUUGGAGCAGGUGUGGACCUAAAGGCUCUCCCUCAGUGAAGGGAGAGGUCAGGCUCCCAUUCCGGCUUCACACACACACACACACACACACACACACACACACACACACACACACACACACACACUAGUGGCGUGUCAUUUUAAUCACGGAAAAAUGUGGAUCUUGGGUUACUUUUUUAUAUCCGAAAAAUAGGGAUAUUUUUUAUCAGAGAAAACCAGGAUCCCUGCUAAUAACAGGGUAUGUGAAGCCUGACUGGAAGCCCGACCUCUCCCUUUACUGAGGCCUUAGGUCCACGCCUGCUCCAGGAGCAGUCACCAAGCCUUGCUAUCACUUUGUCCAAACCUAGUGAAAGCACUUGACUGUAAAAAUACAGACUUGAAUCUAUAUCUUCAAGACAUCUGCGUAUCCUUGAGCGAUCUGCGGUUACAACGCGUGUUAGAUGCAAGAGAGGUCUUUGAAACCAGACCUUUGUAUAUAGAAUUUCAUUUCCAGCUUGAAAAAUACACUUCUCCCAGUAUAUAGCAGUUCAUAGAUGUCAGCCUGUGAAAGAAGAAUGUAAAAGUAAUAUAUGACCGAUAA